GUCUAUGGCCAUACCACUCUGAACGUGCCCAAUCUUGUCUGAUCUCCAAAGCUAAGCAGGGUUGGGCCUGGUUAAUACUUGGAUGAGAGAAACGUGUCUUUUUCUUCC
rnacentral:rRNA from 1 species